AAAGCUGUACUUUCAGGGAUUACUUCUAUAAUCAAUAGUUUGAGAAAUGAGCUUUGAAAGUGAUCAGUCACACUAACCGCAAAGAAGAGUGAUUUCCCUUUCAUUGUGAAACUGACAGUGUACACUAAUGUGUUUGAUUGUCACUGAUGACCAUGUCAGUUGUUUUGUUUUAAAAAGUUACAGAAUCAACUGA
rnacentral:snoRNA from 1 species